rnacentral:rRNA from 1 species
GAUGAACGCUGGCGGCGUGCUUAACACAUGCAAGUCGAGCGAAGCACUUAAGUUCGAUUCUUCGGAUGAGGACUUUUGUGACUGAGCGGCGGACGGGUGAGUAACGCGUGGGUAACCUGCCUCAUACAGGGGGAUAACAGUUAGAAAUGGCUGCUAAUACCGCAUAAGACCACGGUACUGCAUGGUACAGUGGUAAAAACUCCGGUGGUAUGAGAUGGACCCGCGUCUGAUUAGGUAGUUGGUGAGGUAACGGCCCACCAAGCCGACGAUCAGUAGCCGACCUGAGAGGGUGACCGGCCACAUUGGGACUGAGACACGGCCCAGACUCCUACGGGAGGCAGCAGUGGGGAAUAUUGCACAAUGGGCGAAAGCCUGAUGCAGCGACGCCGCGUGAAGGAUGAAGUAUUUCGGUAUGUAAACUUCUAUCAGCAGGGAAGAAAAUGACGGUACCUGACUAAGAAG